UACUCAACGAUUGCAGACUUUGCAAUCUUUCAGAUCACAGAUGGCUUAGUCACCGAAAAGUCAAUCUCUCUCUCUCACACUCACUCAAUGGAUCCUUCACAAUUGCAAUCCAAUGAACUAGAGCAAUUUAUCGCGUCUUCUGUCCAAAUCAACCAAAAAAUAAUCAAGUAAUAUGAUACGGCCCGUACCUUUCUCUCCAAUAUAACCGCGUUUCCUGUUGCCUUUCUUGGUGGAGCGACCAACACUGCAAAUGGAGUCUAUAUUUUUGGAAGAGAAACCUUUUUCAUUGUUGAAAAUCAGCAACGUCGCUGGAGCUCCCGUGGCCGUGAUGUCCUGAGAAGUUAUGAUGAACUCAAGCGACGGAUCCACAUCCUCCAAGAAUUACAAAGGAAAUAAGAGGAGCAAAUUUUGAGAUAAUAUUUUGUUUAAGUUGAAGAGCAGUUUGCAGGCUUUAAGAAGGAAAUAAAGCAGCUAGUGCGGCACAAAGAACUGAGAAGCAAAUUCGUGAUUCUCUCCAAGAUUGGUGCCACGUUUUUCUCUAGUAAGAUAUAUCCUGAAUUGGAAAGGAAGUGUUAUAGAGGAUAUUUUGUUAGAUGUUUUAAUUAUCCAGACGUGCAUACGCCGAUUAUUUCUAGAUAAAUAAAUUAAAAUAAUAUAUAUAUAAAACAGCAGAACCAAGUCAAGAUUCUUUCCAAAUACUUGCAAAAAACGUGAGACGUGAAGACAGAUUUUUUUCAAGGAGCAAAAUUGGAAAGGGCAACACCAAGAGACACGUACAUUAUUUCCUUAAUAAGAGGCCACCGAUUCUUUCCUUAACAAGAGAGCAUCGAGGCCUUAGGUCAUGCACUUUAUAUAUAUCAUGUUUUGCUUUUGUUUGGGGGAAAGCAAAGAGGGGCAAGCAUGGAGAAUUUUUUGGCAGUUCUGGAAACUUUCAACUGGUUUUGUUAUUUGUUAUUUAUAUUUUCAUAAAUAUGAGUGACUAAAUCUCUAGCUAAGGCUAGGAGUGAAGCUUAGUAUUUUUAUUAUGUGUUCUUGAGACUAUGUUAUUUGUUUUUAAUAUAUUAAUGAUUAAAUGUUGGGAAUUAUUUUUUAUUUUUUAUUUUUUA